rnacentral:rRNA from 1 species
UACGAGUGCCCCAAGCGUUAUCCGGAAUUAUUGGGCGUAAAGGGUCCGCAGGCGGUUGUAUUAGUCUUUUGUGAAAGACCGGGGCUCAACUCCGGAAGCGCAAAAGAUACGGUACAACUAGAGUAUGUGAGGGGUGUGUGGAACUCAUGGUGUAGGGGUGAAAUCCGUUGAUAUCAUGGGGAACACCAAAAGCGAAGGCAGCACACUGGCACAUUACUGACGCUCAGGGACGAAAGCGUGGGUCGCGAAUGGG